rnacentral:pre_miRNA from 11 species
UUUCAUCUGGUGCUGAAAGACCCCCAAAGUGGGGAGACCUUCACUCAAGUCUCGGGAUAAGCCGAUGCCCCAAUAAUUCAAGAGAGACC